GGUUUUUGUACGGCGCCUCAGUGAGUUUCUAUCACUUUGGUGGACUUUUGGUGGAGGAACCAGACUGGAUGUUGGAGGUGAUGCCCGUCCCACCCUGACAGUGCUGCCCCCCUCCAGUGAGGAGCUGCAGCAGGGGAAGGCCACCCUCAUGUGUCUGGCCAACAAGGGCUUCCCCUCAGACUGGAGUCUGUCCUGGAAGGUGGACGACAGCAGCAGCAGCAGCAGCAGCAGCAGCUGGGAGCAGAGCAGGAGCCCCGGGGUGCUGCAGAAGGACGGCCUCUACAGCUGGAGCAGCACCCUGAGGCUCCCUGCAGACCAGUGGAGGAAGGUGGGCUCUGUGACCUGUGAGGCCUCCAAGGGCUCCCAGACUGCAGUCACACAGACGCUGACCAGAGACCAGUGUUCCCAGUCCUGAGCUCAUUCGCUGACAUUGUUUUUGUUUUUCUUUGCGCCUUAACAUAAAGAUUUUCAGUUUCAUUCAUACUAAAUUCUUCUUAAAUUGAAUGUUUCGACAUAAAAGUUGAUGCAUUCCAAUUACUUUCAAACACAACUCUUGUAGUAGAACUGUCUCAUAGAAUAUUGUAAAAUACAAUCUGGAAAUUGUUCUGUGUGUUUGUGUGAGUUUACAAACUGUUUUUGGGCUAUUUCUAAUCUGCAUUUCUCACCCUGUACUAAUAUAUGUUUUCAGUUCAUUAAACUUAUCAUAUUCUGA